GGAAAAACCCAACUUCUAUCAAUUUCUUCCCAAAAAAAGCUUCAACGAGGUUAGGGUUUUCAACCUAUCGCCUCAGGCUCAGGUGACUCCGUGACAAGUGGAUGGGAGGGUCUAAAUUCUAAAAUGGGUUGGUUGAUUUCAGAAUCCAGAGACAAUAAAGAUGGUCCGAAUGGAGAUCAUGGAAAGGCUGGAGAGAUGCUUUGACUGAGAACUUGAGGUUGUUGAUUUGUCUGGUUUUGUAUUCUCAAUCACAUACAGGAUUGAUUAUCACUGGUUUAUUAAGAGCAGAAGAAUCAAUAUUUCUAUGAUUCCAGUCUACAACAAAGCUACUUCCUUGGAUUUUGUACCGUGAAUUUUGCAGCUACUUCCUUGGAUUUUGUACAGUGAGGUGAUUUUUUGACAAGUGCAGACUAAAACUCAAGUGUUAGAAGGUUUAUCAAUUUUUCAACAGAAGUGCUAGGAAAUUGAUGAUUUUCUUCACAAAUGGAUUUACUUUAUGUUUUGGAACAUUGAUAAAUGUUGAAUUGUUUGGGCACAUUGAUAAAUGAAGAAUUGUAAAAAUGUUUUAACUCUUUUGAUAUGUUUAA